rnacentral:rRNA from 1 species
AUUGAACGCUGGCGGCAGGCCUAACACAUGCAAGUCGAACGGUAACAGGAAACAGCUUGCUGUUUCGCUGACGAGUGGCGGACGGGUGAGUAAUGUCUGGGAAACUGCCUGAUGGAGGGGGAUAACUACUGGAAACGGUAGCUAAUACCGCAUAACGUCGCAAGACCAAAGAGGGGGACCUUCGGGCCUCUUGCCAUCGGAUGUGCCCAGAUGGGAUUAGCUAGUAGGUGGGGUAACGGCUCACCUAGGCGACGAUCCCUAGCUGGUCUGAGAGGAUGACCAGCCACACUGGAACUGAGACACGGUCCAGACUCCUACGGGAGGCAGCAGUGGGGAAUAUUGCACAAUGGGCGCAAGCCUGAUGUAGCCAUGCCGCGUGUAUGAAGAAGGCCUUCGGGUUGUAAAGUACUUUCAGCGGGGAGGAAGGGAGUAAAGUUAAUACCUUUACUCAUUGACGUUACCCGCAGAAGAAGCACCGGCUAACUCCGUG